UCGCUUCAGCGGCGUAUAUACUAAAAUUGGGACAAUACAAAGAAGAUUAGCAUGGCCCCUGCGCAACGAUGACCCGCGUUCCAUAUUUUUUAAAAAAAAGUUUU